rnacentral:SRP_RNA from 1 species
AUCAAAGGGGAGUUCAGCAGAUGCAAUGGAAGAUGCCUAUAGUCCCAGGAGUUCUGGGCUGUAGAGCACUAUGCUGAUCAGAUGUCCACACUAAAUUCAGCAUCACCAUGGUAACCUUGUGGGGAGCUGGAGGACCACCAGGUUGCCUCAGGAGGCAUGAAGUGGUCCAGGUUGGAAUUGGAGCAGAACAAAACUGUGAUACUGAUCAGUAGUGGGAUCAUGCUUGUGGAUAGCAACUGCACUCAAAUCCGGGAAGCACAGCAAGAUCUCAUUCCU